rnacentral:rRNA from 1 species
AUACGUAGGUGACAAGCGUUAUCCGGAUUUACUGGGCGUAAAGGGCGUGUAGGCGGUCUUGCAAGUCAGAAGUGAAAUUCCUGAGCUCAACUCGGGCGCUGCUUCUGAAACUGCAGGACUUGAGUGCUGGAGGGGAUAGCGGAAUUCCUAGUGGAGCGGUAAAAUGCGCAGAUAUUAGGAAGAACACCGGUGGCGAAGGCGGCUUUCUGGACAGUAACUGACGCUGAGGCUCGAAAGCGUGGGUAGCAAACAGGAUUAGAUACCCUGGUAGGCCACACCGUAAACGAUGAAUACUAAGUGUAGGAGGUAUCGACUCCCUCUGUGCCGCAGUUAACACAAUAAGUAUUCCGCCUGGGGAGUACGGCCGCAAGGUUGAAACUCAAAUGAAUUGACGGGG